CCUACGGGAGGCAGCAGUGAGGAAUAUUGGUCAAUGGGCGGAAGCCUGAACCAGCCAAGUAGCGUGCGGGAUGAAGGCCCUACGGGUCGUAAACCGCUUUUGCACGGGGAUAACACCCUCCACUUGUGGAGGUCUGCAGGUACCGUGCGAAUAAGGGCCGGCUACUUCCGUGCCAGCAGCCGCGGUAAUACGGAAGGCCCGAGCGUUAUCCGGAUUCAUUGGGCUUAAAGGGAGCGUAGGCGGGCGUUCAAGUCAGCUGUAAAAGCGCGCGGCUCAACCGCGCCCCGCAGUUGAAACUGGACGCCUUGAGUUCACAACAGGCAGGCGGAAUUCGUGGUGUAGCGGUGAAAUGCAUAGAUAUCACGAGGAACCCCGAUUGCGAAGGCAGCCUGCCGGGGUGCGACUGACGCUGAGGCUCGAAGGUGCGGGUAUCAAACAGGAUUAGAUACCCCAGUAGUC
rnacentral:rRNA from 1 species